rnacentral:lncRNA from 1 species
GGAUUCUGGAGGAGGCCUCGGCGCGCAGCUGGGCGAGUACUAACUGUUUGCACUCUCAUCAGACCUGCCUCGGUCAUGGGAGAAGUUGAAGACUUUCUGCAAUGCAGCAUCUUCAAGCAAUACACACAUGGAUGAAAAUCCUAAAGUUUGCAUGAAGGACCAAUAACGGUAGUUUCCCUGCCCCUCUACCAGAACCCCUGGGAUCAGCGCCUGCCUGCCUCCUUUCUUCUAUGUAAUCGGCGGCCACCUCCCCUAGCUCUUGCUGCUAACCAUGCUUCCCGGACACCUGCUGCCUUCGUAGUGCCUAGAAACAGGCAAAGUGAGGGAGCUCCUUUGCUAGAUGAUCUUCAGAGCCUCUCCCAGCUGUGACCAGAAAUGGAAAGCCAGAGAAGGAUGCCUCGGGGUGGAAACGGGAUGACAGCCAGUGGUUUCUCCACACAUGGACUUGCCAGAACCUUUCCCGAAAUGCUAGGUUGGAAAACUCACAGCUGAUUAAUUACCGCAGUCCACGGCUUACUCCGUCGGGUGGACACAGCGUCCCUCCCCUCUGGAGGAUGCAGCAACAAAAUGCCUCCUUGGAAGCUGAGAGCAGCCCUCACUGGACAACAGAACCUGCUGGCGCUGUGAUCUUGGACUUCCCAACCUCCAGAACAGACUGACUGUAGUCAUAAAGCAGGAUGGACAGCAUCCAGCUGGGUCUUGAGUGGUGGCCCAUACCGAUGUGGACUCCCAUGAUCUGGACUGGCUGGGAGGAUGCUACUGCCUGGUGGCCCCACGCCUGUUGGCCAUGGGAGUUUUGGCCUUCACGUGUUAACUGAAAUAAUGAACACCAUGGUGCUCCAGGUCUCUCGCUCCCAUCCAGGCAUUCUCCACCUGAUAUCUCUCUGGAGGGUGGAUGCUUUUGUCAGCUGUGUCCUCAAUAAACUGCAACCAGGCAUGGGGCAAUGUGGAGGGAGGGAAGAGAUUUAAAUUCAUUUUCUGGGGGGAAGAGUCACCUCCUACUGGAAUCAAGAGCUAAAAAGAGUUCUCCCAUGUGUGCAGUGCCACGUAACUUCCGGUGUAAUGCCACGAAACACCCACACGUGGAAAACACAGUUGCCAGUUCUUCCUCCUCCACCGUGCAGCUCCGGGGAGCUGUGGGGAGCCAGCCCCCUCCAGAAUUAUCUGAUGCCAGCGUUGGCGUGGACAUAAUAAUGAACAAAUAAGCAUUUUUUUAAAUUGACAAGGUGAAAAAGAAGGUUUAGGAUUAAGGAAUCUUGCCUGAGGAUUAGUCGAAUGUCAGUGAGGAGAAAUAACACUGAAUAGACCCAAAAUAUGUUUUCAGGAAACCUCGAAAAUGCUUUCUGCAUAAUAUUAUAUCUCCCUCUGCUAGAACUGCCAAUUUUGAGUUUCUCACUAUUUUUAUUUUCUUGAGAAAUGAUCAUUUUUAUAAAUAGCCUUUUAAAUGUCAAACUAACUGGUUGAAUAAUUUAUCUCUACUUCUUAUCCUGAAUAACUCAACCCUUGCUUGAUUUUCUAAAGGGUUGGGGGAAAGGGGUUCUCAGACAUAAGCGCCCAGAAUAAAUCCUUCUGUCUGUUAGAGGCUUUGGCUGUCUCCUUUCCCGCGGGUGGUGUGGGCUCCCUGUGGCUGGAAGGCGGCUGUCCUUCCGACGGCUUGCUUCCGCUUGGCUCUGCUCGCUCUUCAGUCACAGCCACAGCAGGGUCCAUGAAGGCAGAUGACAGACGGGAACCCCCAAGAGGCACCUAACCAGGGAUCACGUGUGCUUUCCAUGAAGCCACAGGAGGACCAUGACUCACUCCUCAGAGCAGCAACCCAGGGCUGCGGCAUGAUGGGCCUGGUCGGCGCUGGGUGCCUCGUUCGGUGCCGGCAGGAACCAGCACGCACUCAGGCUGAUGAGACCAGGAGGGUCAGCUGGACCCUGACCAUGGUUCUCAAAGGGUGUGCCAGGACCUGCAACAGAAGCACCACUUGGGAACUUGUCAGAAAUGCAAAUUCUUGCCCCUCCUCUAGGCCCGCUGAAUCCUAAACUCUGGAGGUGGGGCCAAGCCAUCUGUGAAUGAACUCCCGCUCCGGGUCGCACCGACCCACCCUCACGUGUGAGAACCCCGGUCUAGGACCCUGGUUCUCCAACUCGCCUGUAUAUGUUUUCAAAAUGCUUGACCUCUCACUGGGAAUUUUUUAAAAAAUAAAUUUUAAAAAU